rnacentral:rRNA from 1 species
UACGGAGGGUGCAAGCGUUAUCCGGAUUCACUGGGUUUAAAGGGUGCGUAGGUGGGUUGGUAAGUCAGUGGUGAAAUCUCCGAGCUUAACUUGGAAACUGCCAUUGAUACUAUCAGUCUUGAAUACCGUGGAGGUCAGCGGAAUAUGUCAUGUAGCGGUGAAAUGCUUAGAUAUGACAUAGAACACCAAUUGCGAAGGCAGCUCACUACACGAAUAUUGACACUGAGGCACGAAAGCGUGGGGAUCAAACAGG